ACUGGGCUGGCUCAGUUGGUGGAGCAUGCGACUUUUGAUUUUAGGGUUGUGGGUUUGAGCCCCAUGUUGGGUG
rnacentral:tRNA from 1 species